rnacentral:misc_RNA from 1 species
GGGAAAUUGCCAAGCCAUUGAUGCGGCAACACUUGUGAUACAACACCCAAGUGGGAAAGAAGACAAAUUGUAUUGGCCUGUGACUGCUAGAGAGAUCAUGAAGAUGAAUCCUGGUCAUUAUGUUGCUCUUCUUAUCUCUACUACCAUGUUUACACCCAAUGAAAGUAAUAACAACAAUGAAACAAGCAAAGAAACAAGCAGCAAUUCGGUUCGUUUAACUCGAAUCAAGCUUCUCCGCCCAGCUGACAUGCUUGUUCUUGGUCAAGUUUACAGGCUCAUCACAACUCAAGAAGUCAUGAAAGGUUUAUCAGCAAAGAAACAAGCAAAGGUUAAACAAAGUCAGUUAGAAGCAGCUGAUAAGCCAGAGAGGAGGAAAGAACGUACAACCAGAGGCUCAGAUGCAGCAGCAGCAGCUGGAAGAUCUGUAUCUGAAGAUCAUAUUCAGGCGACCAAACACGAGAAAAACAACCGACCAAGGACAAGUAGUACAUCGACUAACUCGGCCACAUCCAGAUCAAGAACAUGGCAACCUUCAUUACAUAGCAUCUCAGAAGCUGGAAGCUAAUCAUUUAUGUUUCCUAUUUCCCACAUGCUAUUGAAAGACAG